rnacentral:tRNA from 1 species
AAACAAUUAGCAUUUAUGCACGGCGAUUUCGACUCGACGAGGACCUAGCAAGGUAUUGUUUU